UACGUAGGUGGCAAGCGUUGUCCGGAUUUAUUGGGCGUAGAGCGCUCGCAGGCGGUCUUUUAAGUCUGAUGUGAAAUCUUGCGGCUUAACCGUAAGCGGUCAUUGGAAACUGGGGAACUGGAGUGUAGGAGAGGAAAGUGGAAUUCCACGUGUAGCGGUGAAAUGCGUAGAGAUGUGGAGGAACACCUGUGGCGAAGGCGGCUUUCUGGGCCCUACCUGACGCUGAGACGCGAAAGCGUGGGGAGCGAACCGG
rnacentral:rRNA from 1 species